AUCCCCCUAGUAUAAUAGUACAAGCGACUUCCAAUCACUAAGUUUUAGACACACCUAAAGGGGGAUA
rnacentral:tRNA from 3 species